GGGUUGUGAGGUUAAGCGACUAAGCGUACACGGUGGAUGCCCUGGCAGUCAGAGGCGAUGAAGGACGUGCUAAUCUGCGAAAAGCGUCGGUAAGGUGAUAUGAACCGUUAUAACCGGCGAUGUCCGAAUGGGGAAACCCAGUGCAAUUCGUUGCACUAUCGUUAACUGAAUACAUAGGUUAACGAGGCGAACCGGGGGAACUGAAACAUCUAAGUACCCCGAGGAAAAGAAAUCAACCGAGAUUCCCCCAGUAGCGGCGAGCGAACGGGGAGCAGCCCAGAGUCUGAAUCAGCUUGUGUGUUAGUGGAACGGUCUGGAAAGUCCGACGGUACAGGGUGAUAGUCCCGUACACCAAAAUGCACAGGCUGUGAACUCGAAGAGUAGGGCGGGACACGUGGUAUCCUGUCUGAAUAUGGGGGGACCAUCCUCCAAGGCUAAAUACUCCUGACUGACCGAUAGUGAACCAGUACCGUGAGGGAAAGGCGAAAAGAACCCCGGCGAGGGGAGUGAAAAAGAACCUGAAACCGUGUACGUACAAGCAGUGGGAGCACCUUCGGGUGUGACUGCGUACCUUUUGUAUAAUGGGUCAGCGACUUAUAUUCUGUAGCAAGGUUAACCGUAUAGGGGAGCCGCAGGGAAACCGAGUCUUAACUGGGCGUUAAGUUGCAGGGUAUAGACCCGAAACCCGGUGAUCUAGCCAUGGGCAGGUUGAAGGUUGGGUAACACUAACUGGAGGACCGAACCGACUAAUGUUGAAAAAUUAGCGGAUGACUUGUGGCUGGGGGUGAAAGGCCAAUCAAACCGGGAGAUAGCUGGUUCUCCCCGAAAGCUAUUUAGGUAGCGCCUCGUGAAUUCAUCUUCGGGGGUAGAGCACUGUUUCGGCUAGGGGGUCAUCCCGACUUACCAACCCGAUGCAAACUACGAAUACCGAAGAAUGUUAUCACGGGAGACACACGGCGGGUGCUAACGUCCGUCGUGAAGAGGGAAACAACCCAGACCGCCAGCUAAGGUCCCAAAGUCAUGGUUAAGUGGGAAACGAUGUGGGAAGGCACAGACAGCCAGGAUGUUGGCUUAGAAGCAGCCAUCAUUUAAAGAAAGCGUAAUAGCUCACUGGUCGAGUCGGCCUGCGCGGAAGAUGUAACGGGGCUAAACCAUGCACCGAAGCUGCGGCAGCGACACUAUGUGUUGUUGGGUAGGGGAGCGUUCUGUAAGCCUGCGAAGGUGUGCUGUGAGGCAUGCUGGAGGUAUCAGAAGUGCGAAUGCUGACAUAAGUAACGAUAAAGCGGGUGAAAAGCCCGCUCGCCGGAAGACCAAGGGUUCCUGUCCAACGUUAAUCGGGGCAGGGUGAGUCGACCCCUAAGGCGAGGCCGAAAGGCGUAGUCGAUGGGAAACAGGUUAAUAUUCCUGUACUUGGUGUUACUGCGAAGGGGGGACGGAGAAGGCUAUGUUAGCCGGGCGACGGUUGUCCCGGUUUAAGCAUGUAGGCUGGUUAUCCAGGCAAAUCCGGAUAAUCAAGGCUGAGGUGUGAUGACGAGGCACUACGGUGCUGAAGUAACAAAUGCCCUGCUUCCAGGAAAAGCCUCUAAGCAUCAGGUAACAUCAAAUCGUACCCCAAACCGACACAGGUGGUCAGGUAGAGAAUACCAAGGCGCUUGAGAGAACUCGGGUGAAGGAACUAGGCAAAAUGGUGCCGUAACUUCGGGAGAAGGCACGCUGGUGUGUAGGUGAAGCCCCUGCGGGUGGAGCUGAGACCAGUCGAAGAUACCAGCUGGCUGCAACUGUUUAUUAAAAACACAGCACUGUGCAAACACGAAAGUGGACGUAUACGGUGUGACGCCUGCCCGGUGCCGGAAGGUUAAUUGAUGGGGUUAUCCGUAAGGAGAAGCUCUUGAUCGAAGCCCCGGUAAACGGCGGCCGUAACUAUAACGGUCCUAAGGUAGCGAAAUUCCUUGUCGGGUAAGUUCCGACCUGCACGAAUGGCGUAAUGAUGGCCAGGCUGUCUCCACCCGAGACUCAGUGAAAUUGAACUCGCUGUGAAGAUGCAGUGUACCCGCGGCAAGACGGAAAGACCCCGUGAACCUUUACUAUAGCUUGACACUGAACAUUGAGCCUUGAUGUGUAGGAUAGGUGGGAGGCUUUGAAGCGUGGACGCCAGUCUGCGUGGAGCCAACCUUGAAAUACCACCCUUUAAUGUUUGAUGUUCUAACGUUGGCCCCUUACCGGGGUUACGGACAGUGUCUGGUGGGUAGUUUGACUGGGGCGGUCUCCUCCCAAAGCGUAACGGAGGAGCACGAAGGUUAGCUAAUCCUGGUCGGACAUCAGGAGGUUAGUGCAAUGGCAUAAGCUAGCUUGACUGCGAGCGUGACGGCGCGAGCAGGUGCGAAAGCAGGUCAUAGUGAUCCGGUGGUUCUGAAUGGAAGGGCCAUCGCUCAACGGAUAAAAGGUACUCCGGGGAUAACAGGCUGAUACCGCCCAAGAGUUCAUAUCGACGGCGGUGUUUGGCACCUCGAUGUCGGCUCAUCACAUCCUGGGGCUGAAGUAGGUCCCAAGGGUAUGGCUGUUCGCCAUUUAAAGUGGUACGCGAGCUGGGUUUAGAACGUCGUGAGACAGUUCGGUCCCUAUCUGCCGUGGGCGCUGGAGAAUUGAGGGGGGCUGCUCCUAGUACGAGAGGACCGGAGUGGACGCAUCACUGGUGUUCGGGUUGUCAUGCCAAUGGCACUGCCCGGUAGCUAAAUGCGGAAGAGAUAAGUGCUGAAAGCAUCUAAGCACGAAACUUGCCCCGAGAUGAGUUCUCCCUGAGACUUUAAGUCUCCUGAAGGAACGUUGAAGACGACGACGUUGAUAGGCCGGGUGUGUAAGCGCAGCGAUGCGUUGAGCUAACCGGUACUAAUGAACCGUGAGGCUUAACCUUACAACGCCGAAG
rnacentral:rRNA from 1 species